rnacentral:rRNA from 1 species
UCGAACGGCAGCACGGAGCUUGCUCUGGUGGCGAGUGGCGAACGGGUGAGUAAUAUAUCGGAACGUACCCUAUAGUGGGGGAUAACAUAGCGAAAGUUACGCUAAUACCGCAUACGAUCUAAGGAUGAAAGUGGGGGAUCGCAAGACCUCAUGCUCGUGGAGCGGCCGAUAUCUGAUUAGCUAGUUGGUAGGGUAAAAGCCUACCAAGGCAUCGAUCAGUAGCUGGUCUGAGAGGACGACCAGCCACACUGGAACUGAGACACGGUCCAGACUCCUACGGGAGGCAGCAGUGGGGAAUUUUGGACAAUGGGCGAAAGCCUGAUCCAGCAAUGCCGCGUGAGUGAAGAAGGCCUUCGGGUUGUAAAGCUCUUUUGUCAGGGAAGAAACGGUGAGAGCUAAUAUCUCUUGCUAAUGACGGUACCUGAAGAAUAAGCACCGGCUAACUACGUGCCAGCAGCCGCGGUAAUACGUAGGGUGCAAGCGUUAAUCGGAAUUACUGGGCGUAAAGCGUGCGCAGGCGGUUUUGUAAGUCUGAUGUGAAAUCCCCGGGCUCAACCUGGGAAUUGCAUUGGAGACUGCAAGGCUAGAAUCUGGCAGAGGGGGGUAGAAUUCCACGUGUAGCAGUGAAAUGCGUAGAUAUGUGGAGGAACACCGAUGGCGAAGGCAGCCCCCUGGGUCAAGAUUGACGCUCAUGCACGAAAGCGUGGGGAGCAAAC